AGAGUUUGAUCCUGGCUCAGGAUGAACGCUGGCGGCGUGCCUAAUACAUGCAAGUCGAACGAAUCUUCUUCGGAAGAUGAGUGGCGAACGGGUGAGUAAUACAUAGGUAACCUGCCCCUGUGCGGGGGAUAACAGGAGGAAACUCCUGCUAAUACCGCAUAGCCAUGAGCACCGCAUGGAGCUCAUGCCAAAUAUCCUUUCGGGGAUAGCGCAGGGAUGGACCUAUGGCGCAUUAGCUUGUUGGCGGGGCAACGGCCCACCAAGGCAACGAUGCGUAGCCGGCCUGAGAGGGCGGACGGCCACAUUGGGACUGAGACACGGCCCAGACUCCUACGGGAGGCAGCAGUAGGGAAUUUUCGGCAAUGGGGGAAACCCUGACCGAGCAACGCCGCGUGAGCGAAGAAGGCCUUCGGGUCGUAAAGCUCUGUUGUAAAGGAAGAACGGCGCAUACAGGAAAUGGUAUGCGAGUGACGGUACUUUACCAGAAAGCCACGGCUAACUACGUGCCAGCAGCCGCGGUAAUACGUAGGUGGCGAGCGUUAUCCGGAAUCAUUGGGCGUAAAGAGGGAGCAGGCGGCCGCAAGGGUCUGUGGUGAAAGACCGAAGCUAAACUUCGGUAAGCCAUGGAAACCGGGCGGCUAGAGUGCGGAAGAGGAUCGUGGAAUUCCAUGUGUAGCGGUGAAAUGCGUAGAUAUAUGGAGGAACACCAGUGGCGAAGGCGACGGUCUGGGCCGCAACUGACGCUCAUUCCCGAAAGCGUGGGGAGCAAAUAGGAUUAGAUACCCUAGUAGUCCACGCCGUAAACGAUGGUCACUAAGUGUCGGGGGUCAAACCCCGGUGCUGCAGUCAACGCAAUAAGUGACCCGCCUGAGUAGUACGUUCGCAAGAAUGAAACUCAAAGGAAU
rnacentral:rRNA from 1 species